AUGCGCGCUUCUCGGCCUCCAGGGCACGGCGCUCGGCAGGGGACAGAGCCCGAUCGGGCGCAGGCAACUCGGGGCUCUGGACACGGAGUCGCUCCUGAUGGCGCCGCUCCGCUUUGGCUGUGCGCACCGGGGCGCUGCCUCCCGGAGGCAGGGGGGACGAGGGUCCGAGCCUGGGAGAGGAGAUGGGACAGGAGAUGGGACAGGAGGGCCGGGUGGGUGGAGUGCUGGGGGUACAGGGGCACCCGGGGAGACGCUGGGUGCUGCCCCCUCACCCUGUGGUGGGGCCGGUCGGGGGAGGCAGCUCCUCUGGCUCAUCGGGGGGUUCCCCAUCCAGGUCCAGGGGGGGCCCGGUGCCCUCUGCCUCCCGCAUCAUCUGCGCCCUCUUCUGCUGCAGCUUCCGGGCUGGGGGGGAGGAGGAAAGGGGUGUGUGUGGGGGGGGGGGGGCCGACAGGUCAGGCCCUGGCCUGGCCCCAGCCCUCCCCGCUGCCCAUCCGGCCGCUCACCUUCCUCCUCCUGCAUCUUGCGCAGAUCGUCGGCACCCACCAGGGACACGCGCUUGGGGGGCCCCUCGGCUUGGGGCAGCCGCACCUCCAGUUCAAAGUACUUUUGCCGCUCGCGGAAGGAGAGCUGCUCCGGGGAGGCCGCGGGCCCAGGUGUGGGGGCCUGGGGAGAGUGGGUCCUGAGGCCCGGCCCCUCCGGCACGCGCCCCGCAAGCACACGCAGAGGAAGGGCGGGCCGCCCACCGUGUACCUGGGCGGGGGUGUCCGGCGGGUGUGGGCCGGGCACGGCGGCAAAGGUCCUGUAGGCCUGCUUCACGUUGGUGGGCAGUGCGUCGGGGGAGGGCGGGGAGGGGAGCUGAGGGGUGGGGCGCACGUGAGUCAUGCAGAGACAGCCAUCAUCAGCCACCAGCUGUCCCCACCAGCUGCCCAAGACGCCCGCACACUGGAGGUCAGAGCGCUCGCUCACAAAACGGGGAUCACCUCUAUCCCUGGGGGCCAUAGAGUCCCCUGGCCAGGCCUCAGCCGCUUUUGUCAGCAGAGGGAAGGAUCGGGGUUCAGGUAA
rnacentral:lncRNA from 1 species